GAUGAACGCUGGCGGCGUGCCUAAUACAUGCAAGUCGAGCGAACAGACGAGGAGCUUGCUCCUCUGACGUUAGCGGCGGACGGGUGAGUAACACGUGGAUAACCUACCUAUAAGACUGGGAUAACUUUGGGAAACCGGAGCUAAUACCGGAUAAUAUAUUGAACCGCAUGGUUCAAUAGUGAAAGACGGUUUUGCUGUCACUUAUAGAUGGAUCCGCGCCGCAUUAGCUAGUUGGUAAGGUAACGGCUUACCAAGGCAACGAUGCGUAGCCGACCUGAGAGGGUGAUCGGCCACACUGGAACUGAGACACGGUCCAGACUCCUACGGGAGGCAGCAGUAGGGAAUCUUCCGCAAUGGGCGAAAGCCUGACGGAGCAACGCCGCGUGAAUGAUGAAGGUCUUCGGAUCGUAAAACUCUGUUAUUAGGGAAGAACAAAUGUGUAAGUAACUAUGCACGUCUUGACGGUACCUAAUCAGAAAGCCACGGCUAACUACGUG
rnacentral:rRNA from 1 species